UGGGGAAUAUUGCACAAUGGGCGAAAGCCUGAUGCAGCAACGCCGCGUGAGGGACGACGGCCUUCGGGUUGUAAACCUCUUUUAGCAAGGAAGAAGCGAAAGUGACGGUACUUGCAGAAAAAGCGCCGGCUAACUACGUGCCAGCAGCCGCGGUAAUACGUAGGGCGCAAGCGUUAUCCGGAAUUAUUGGGCGUAAAGAGCUCGUAGGCGGUUUGUCGCGUCUGCUGUGAAAACCCGAGGCUCAACCUCGGGCCUGCAGUGGGUACGGGCAGACUAGAGUGCGGUAGGGGAGAUUGGAACUCCUGGUGUAGCGGUGGAAUGCGCAGAUAUCAGGAAGAACACCGAUGGCGAAGGCAGAUCUCUGGGCCGUAACUGACGCUGAGGAGCGAAAGGGUGGGGAGCAAACAGGCUUAGAUACCCUGGUAGUCCACCCCGUAAACGUUGGGAACUAGUUGUGGGGUCCAUUCCACGGAUUCCGUGACGCAGCUAACGCAUUAAGUUCCCCGCCUGGGGAGUACGGCCGCAAGGCUAAAACUUGAAAUGAAUUGACGGGGUCAUAGCUGUUUCC
rnacentral:rRNA from 1 species